rnacentral:rRNA from 1 species
CGAAGGGUGCAAGCGUUACUCGGAAUUACUGGGCGUAAAGCGUGCGUAGGUGGUUCGUUAAGUCUGAUGUGAAAGCCCUGGGCUCAACCUGGGAAUGGCAUUGGAUACUGGCGACCUAGAGUGCGGUAGAGGGGUGUGGAAUUCCCGGUGUAGCAGUGAAAUGCGUAGAUAUCGGGAGGAACAUCUGUGGCGAAGGCGACACCCUGGACCAGCACUGACACUGAGGCACGAAAGCGUGGGGAGCAAACAGGAUUAGAUACCCUGGUAGUCCACGCCCUAAACGAUGCGAACUGGAAGUUGGGGGCAACUUGGCCCUCAGUUUCGAAGCUAACGCGUUAAGUUCGCCGCCUGGGAAGUACGGUACGCAAGACUG